GCAACCCGCCUGCAUGAAGUCGGAAUUGCUAGUAAUCGCGGAUCAGCAUGCCGCGGUGAAUACGUUCCCGGGCCUUGUACACACCGCCCGUCACACCAUGGGAGCCGGUAAUACCCGAAGUCAGUAGUCCAACCACGUGAGGACGCUGCCGAAGGUAGGAUUGGCGACUGGGGUGAAGUCGUAACAAGGUAGC
rnacentral:rRNA from 1 species